CCGUCGGUCCUCUGCUCUACCCCGCGGGGUUCCGCCGGUGGGCGGUUGGCCGGUGGCGGGUGGGCGCCGGUGGGUGGCGGGCUGCGCCCCCAGCCCUCCUUCUUCUCCAGCGUUCGCAGCCACUCUGCGCCGCCAGAGAGAAGCCAGCUCCAAAACAACAAAAAAAGGCAAUUCCGGGAGGUGGCGUCCCAAGGAAGGAGGGAACAGCGGAGUGGGGGUGGGGGGGAGGUGAGGGGUGGGGACAGGGAGAGAGAAGGAAAAGCAGGCUGGGGAAUUGGGCAAACUCCACUGCACUUCCGUGCGUCCUGGCUGGCCAAGGACGGCCCGGCUCCGCCCUCCCGCGGGCCUGGGGCGCAAGAGCUCGGCUCCCGCCUACUUUUAGCUUUUCUUUUUGGCCGUCGCCUUCACUCCCUCGCGCCGAGAUCGGGAUACGCGAGCGAGGAGACCACUGGAACUAGGGGGCCCGCAAGCCUCCAGGGCCAGCCCCUAGGGCAGCCGCACCCCUCUGCCCAUCUGGCCCCGCUGGGAGACACCUCUCGCCCGGAGAGGCUUAAGCGCCGCGCGGGGGAGCUCUCCAGCCGCCGCCUCGCCUCCCGGGCUCCGUCACCCUCCAGCCUUUUCCAUGACGCAAGUGAGGGAAAACUCCUAAAGUUUUUAGAGUGCGGUGCUCCAAGGUGUGCGCCAGAGUUGGAACCUGGGAGAGAGGAUGUGCGGAAAGCCGCAGACGCCACCUCCCACUCCUCUGUCCCCCACCCCCCGCUCCGGCGGGACGCGGCACCGCAGUGGCGCCGCCUGGGGAUUGUUCUCUGGAGGGGGUCCCAUCGCCAGAGGCGCUCUCAUGGAAGAAGCCGAAGCCCAAGCCUGAACCGGCUGAGAUACUGGUCUCUGCAGGUCCUAGGUACCCUAGCUAGACAGAGCCAGGGGCACCCCUAUCCUGGGCGAAUUCCUUCAGCAGGGGAGACAAAAUCCCUUGUAUGUAGCGAUGGGGAACAAGCCCAGGCACAGCCC
rnacentral:lncRNA from 1 species